GACGGGACCCGCACAAGCGGUGGAUGAUGUUGGUUUAAUUCGAUGCAACGCGAAAACCUUACCCACCUUUGACAUGUACGGAAUCCUUUAGAGAUAGAGGAGUGCUCGAAAGAGAACCUGCACACAGGUGCUGCAUGGCUGUCGUCAGCUCGUGUCGUGAGAUGUUGGGUUAAGUCCCGCAACGAGCGCAACCCUUGCCAUUAGUUGCUACGAAAGGGCACUCUAAUGGGACUGCCGGUGACAAACCGGAGGAAGGUGGGGAUGACGUCAAGUCCUCAUGGCCCUUAUAGGUGGGGCUACACACGUCAUACAAUGGCCGGUACAGAGGGUAGCCAACCCGCGAGGGGGAGCCAAUCCCACAAAGCCGGUCGUAGUCCGGAUCGCAGUCUGCAACUCGACUGCGUGAAGUCGGAAUCGCUAGUAAUCGCGGAUCAGCAUGUCGCGGUGAAUACGUUCCCGGGUCUU
rnacentral:rRNA from 1 species